rnacentral:misc_RNA from 1 species
GAUGAAGAACGUAGCGAAAUGCGAUACUUGGUGUGAAUUGCAGAAUCCCGUGAACCAUCGAGUCUUUGAACGCAAGUUGCGCCCGAAGCCAUUAGGCCGAGGGCACGCCUGCCUGGGCGUCACACGUCGUUGCCCCCCCAUCUACUCCUUCGGGAUUGCGGGGGGCGGAUGAUGGCCUCCCGUGCGCCUCGUCGCGCGGUUGGCAUAAAUGCCAAGUCCUCGGCGACACACGCCACGACAAUCGGUGGUUGCGAAACCUCGGUUGCCCGUCGUGUGCGGUCGUCGCGCAUCGAGGGCUCGAAAAAAUUGCCGGGCUCCGGCUCGGCUUUCAACGCGACCCCAGGUCAGGCGGGGUUACCCGCUGAAUUUAAGCAUAUCAAUAAGCGGAGGA